AUAAGAAGGGGAAAAAACGGUUAUUAACCGGAAAAGUUUUAGAACAUUCGACCAACUUCCUACACUUCCCAAAAUGAAAUCUUUCCACCGGACAAUCCACAACCCACGCCGUCUCUUCCGUCCACCCACCACGACCCUCCUCCCUCUCACCACCACUCUCUGCCUCCCACCACCACAAACCACCAUGUCAACCUCUUCAUCCUCGACCCAACAAAAUCCCGAACAAUCAUCACUAACCCAAGUUCUCACUUACCACAAUCAAACCAAACACUCAUUCACCAACUACGCUAGAGGCCCACGUGGCCUCGAUUGGGACAACCAACCAAACCCUUUUCGCCGCUACAUCUCCGCCCCCCUCCGCCCCCUUCUCCACCCUAACUCCGGCGACUCGGUUCCCUACAAUUCCCUCUUCAAGACUCUUCCUUUUCCAAAACCCAUUAACAAGAUUACAAUUUCUGAGUUUUUCUACGAUUCUCUUGCGUUAUCUGCUUGGAAAUCAAUUGGGUUUUCCACCUGGUCGCUCAGGGUAAACCCUAGCAGUGGUAAUUUACACCCAACUGAAGCUUACAUCAUAUGCCCACCAGUUGAAUCUGUUUCGGAUUCGGGUUUUGUAGCUCAUUAUGCCCCAAAGGUACAUGCUUUGGAGGUUAGGGCUCAAAUCCCAUCUGGGUUUUUCACCAAUUUGUUCCCUGAUGGGUCUUUUUUAAUUGGGCUGACGUCUGUGUUUUGGCGGGAAAGUUGGAAGUAUGGUGAGAGGGGGUUUAGGUAUUGUAAUCAUGAUGUGGGUCAUGCGAUUGGGGCGGUUUCGAUGGCGGCUGCUGGACAGGGGUGGGAUGUGAAGGUGCUUGAUGGGUUGGGGCAUGAUGAGUUGAAGAAGGUAAUGGGGCUUGAGGUGUUUUCAGAGUUUGAGAUUCCUGAAAGAGCUGUGAAAGGUAAGUUUGAAGAGAUUGAAUUUGAGCAUCCUGAUUGUUUGCUUCUUGUUUUUCCUAGUGGGAUUGAUGGGUUUGAUGUGAAUUAUGAGGAUUUGAGGUUAGCGAUUUCGGAGUUUUCUAAUUUGGAUUGGAAAGGAGAGCCUAAUUCACUUAGCAAAGAACAUGUAUGUUGGGAUAUUAUCUAUAGGACAUCAGAGGCGGUAAAAAAGCCGUUGACAUUAGAGAAAAAGUUUGUUAUUGAUCCGUUCGAAAAGAGUGGGACGUGUAGCGAGGAUUCGUAUAAGCAUUUACCUUUAAGGGAACUCGUUAGAAAGCGUAGGAGUGCAGUUGAUAUGGAUGGAGUUACAUCGAUUGAAAGAAACACAUUUUAUCAGAUUUUACUGCAUUGUCUUCCUUCGGGUUGUCAAGAAAAACAAAAGAGGCAAUUGGGGUUGCCGUAUCGAGCAAUGGAUUGGGAUAGUGAGGUGCAUUGUGUGUUGUUUGUGCAUAGAGUUGUCGGUUUGCCAAAAGGGUUGUACUUUCUUGUUAGAAAUGAAGAACAUUUUGAUGAUCUUAAGAAGGCCACGAGGUCGGAGUUUAAGUGGGAGAAACCCGAGGGUUGCCCACAAGAGUUGCCGUUAUAUGAACUCGCGCAGAUGGAUUGUAUGAAGCUUUCAAAACAUCUUUCGUGCCAUCAGUGUAGGAUAUAGCAAGUGAUGGUUGCUUUAGCCUGGGUAUGGUUGCACGUGUUGAGCCGACAUUACGGGAGAAGGGUGUUUGGAUGUAUCCUAGGUUGUUUUGGGAAACCGGGGUUUUGGGUCAGGUUUUGUACCUUGAAGCACACGCGGUUGGCAUUUCUGCAACUGGCAUUGGUUGCUUUUUCGAUGAUCCUGUGCAUGAGGUUCUUGGGUUGACUGGAUCAAACUUUCAGAGCCUUUAUCAUUUUACAGUUGGCGGGCCUGUUGUCGACAAACGAAUAACGAGCCUCCCUGCGUAUCCAGGCCCGGGUGUUGAUGCAUAACAUGCUUACUUGCAAGUUGCAAUCUAUAUUUGUUAAUCAUGGCCAGAUAGAUCCUUCAAAGGCGUUACAUGUUUUGUUGUUCUCAUGAUGGACUGGGCCAAGGUGGUUGCUGGGCUAGUUUCAGUUUACAAAAGUAUAUUAGAAGAAAUUGCUAACUCUAUUAUUAUUAUAUAAAAGGCAGGGUCAUCUCAUCUGGGAUUGCUUGCUUGAUGAGAACUAACUCUGUUUGUAUAUGUCUUUGUUAAGAACCAUCGUGAUUGAUGAUACAUAUAACAAAAUUUAUAAGCAAUAAAAUUAGAUUAUUUAUGGGUGCCUCAAA